UCUAUAAUCUUGAAAUCUCGUGCGCGACUAACGAGAUCGUUAUCGUGUGGUGUUUAAGAUAAAUAUACUUUACGUACAAGCAUAGGAAAGUGAGAAAGGUUCGGGAGGAAGGGGAGAGAGAGGGAGAGUAGAUGUAGUUCGGUAGCAAAGGCAAGUAUAUAUUUCUCACGAGUAUGCAAAUGGAUGUGACAGUCAAAGGGUUAUUAUGCAUACGUAAGUAUUUAUGUGCAUUCGCGUAUUCAACUUGAGAGCGAGUGGGCCAUGAUUGUGCUCGAACAAUGGGAUCCGUCGCUUUGUUUACCGAACAACUAUUGACGCUUAUGGGCUUUUCAGCUUGACGGAAAUUGGAGAAAAUUUUGCCGUUUGCGCGACACGCAUCUCUCUUUCGCAAUGCAACCUCUCGCGAAACAGAAUCGUAAUAUUUCGUGUCGAUAACGUAUCUUCCUCUUCCUUCUUCUCCUUCUCCACCUCUUCGAACUUUCCUCUAUGCGAUAGAGCUUGCACGCGCUAACGUCUAUGUAUAUAUGGAUCUACGUACAUGGAUACGUGUAUUUAUUAAAGUGUCAUGUCAGAAAGAUAGGAAAAAAUUUCAUUUGCAUGCGUAAGUAGAACUUUUCAAAUCGUGUUUGAAAGCCGAACGUUAUCUCUUCUCUUUUGGCAAAAAGAAAGAUAAGUUUGGGAUAUAACGUCAAAGAAAACCAUCGAAUAAUUUUAACUUUGAAGAAGGAAGUCACUCAUCUGCAUACAUACCUAUAUACAUAAAUACAUGCGCACAUACGUAAAUACUUACAUACAUAUACGUAUUGUCUGAAAUACGAGGAAUCUUAUGGGAGAGUUACCACUCGCAGUCGUAUUCGCGUCAAUUGUUUCUGACAAAUUGUCGUUUCGCAUCUGUCAAUUUGAAUGAAGCACGGAAAGCAUCUUUCCAGAUACACUCCUUCAAGUUUCUCUCUCUCUCUCUCUCUCUAUCUCUCUUUUCCUUCGUCUAAGGCUUCAACACUCCAUCGAGUCGUAGAAAUGUAAUACUCGUCGCAUCGUUGGAGAUUUUGCCGUGCGACUUGGCGUAAGCCGUCUAUUGUUCCGCGAUACGUUUCUAGGAAAGUAGAAUUUUCGUUAUAUAUGUAUAUUUCUCCUUCCAUGAGUUACCGAUACUUCUUUGAACCAAUUAGGGAGUAUGGAGUUACGAGUAUCUCAUAACUGUGAUGGUGACGAAGGUUGCAAGUUGACGAUAAAAAAAGAAGGACCGUGGAUGGUUAGACGGUUAAAGGAGGAAGGGUGAAAGUUUUAAAGGAGAACCCUUUAAGAUCUCGAGAAAUGAGCUGACUCGGCUCUUGAGUCUUCUUCCAUUUGCAACUUGUAAUAAAAUGAAAACGACCGCAUCCGAUGAGAGAGGAAUUGCGCUACCCUUUGCUUCGAAUAAGUGGAAUUAUCAUUGUUUUAAAACCGUAGACGUUUCCGUUCUAGCAAGGAUAGAGGAAACAAACGAGUCCUUUUGUAAUUCGAAUACGAAAUAAACUUUUCACGCAUUAGUUAUAAAGCGGAAUGAAAAGAGA